GACGAACGCUGGCGGCGUGCUUAACACAUGCAAGUCGAACGGAAAGGCCCUGCUUGCAGGGUACUCGAGUGGCGAACGGGUGAGUAACACGUGGGUGAUCUGUCCUGCACUUCGGGAUAAGCCUGCGAAACUGGGUCUAAUACCGGAUAGGAGCCAUCCUUAGUGUGAUGGUUGGAAAGUUUUUUUGGUGUAGGAUGAGCUCGCGGCCUAUCUGCCUGCUGGUGGGGUAAUGGCCUACCAAGGCGGCGGCGGGGAGCCGGCCUGAGUGGGUGGACGGCCACAAUGGGACUGAGGUGCGGCCCAGGCUCCUACGGGGAGCAACAGGUGGGAAUAAUGCACAAUUGGCGCAAGCCUGAUGCAGCGACGCCGGGUGGGGGAAUACGGGCUUCGGGUUGGAAACUCCUUUCGCUAGGGACGAAGCUUUUUGUGACGGUACCUAGAUAAGAAGCACCGGCUAACUACGUG
rnacentral:rRNA from 1 species